rnacentral:lncRNA from 7 species
AGACGUCCCUUGAGCGGUUACAGAUGAGCCCUCGCCUUCUCCCUCUCGUGCGUCCCUCCCUCCGCUCCUGGCAGCCGAGCAGCCCCUGGCCUUCCGUUCCUGGCUGCCGAGCAAGCCCCUGUGCCCAGUAGCCAGCGCCCCUGCGUAGCCCGGAAGCCCCGGAAAGCUCCCGUAUCCUGGAUGGUCAGCCCCGCCGAUGUGCUUGCCCAUGGCCAUGGUGGUCGAAUCCUUUCCCUCCCUACGUGAGUCCCAAUCUUGUCUCCAGCGCUAGUACGUUCUCAUAUUUCAUUUCAUUUACAAUAUCUAGGUUAGUUUAUUUUCAAUUUAAAGUAACUGCUAUAAUCCUCUGUACUUCUACUACAAGAGAUUUUACUGCACCAUUUUUUUUGCCAUGUGCUCUGCUGCGCACGAAAUAGAUGUACGACGUUGUUGGUUUUCAAGUCAAACACAAACCUGUUCCUACCUGUUAAAAAACAUUAGCCUAAACUCACUACGUACCAUGCCCAAGUGAGAAAUGCAACAGAUGGCUAGUGCUAUGACGUAUGCAUAGUCUAUUAGAUCACAUACGCAUAGUCUAUUUGAUUAAAUAAAUAUAUUAUUUUGACAUGUCGCAAGUAUUAAUUAAUUAAUUAUUUGGUUAUUCAAUGGUUAUUAAUUUAGCUUUCUAAUUAAACUAAUUUAUGGUUUUAACUUGGUGCUUUUAUAAAUUCAAAUUAAUGUGGUUACUGUUAACUCAAAUGUUUUUGAAUUAACACUUGUUUAAUAUAAACACAACAUCUGUUAUUGAUUCUCGGGUGUCGCGAGUGCUAACGCGCACGCUGUUCGCGCGUUGACGCUCGCGUUAUUUCGCGUGUCAUUCGCGCGCAGUUUCACACGUGUCGUCACACGUUGUGUGUGCGUGUCGCGCGUGCGGAUCAUGCGCAUCUCCGCGCGUCGCCCGCGCACUAAGUCGCGUGUUCGCGCAUUAUUUUAGCACGUCGCGCAUCUUGUCACGUGUCGUUAAUUUUGCCUCGCUUAGAAUCUCUCGUGCUAAUUAUAUUAGUUAUUUAUUUGAGAGCUGUUAGUGUAGCAGAUUUAAUCAAAACUACAUAGCAGUUAUAAUUUAUAUUUUAUAAUGUCGAAUUAAAUGUCCUGACUAUUACUUGCUUAGCGCAAACGUUAUAACUUCUCGACCGUAGCUUCGACGAUCGCGUUUAUUAUCCUCGUGUAACCGUAGAAGCGCUCUCUAUUUUUAUAAUGCUUGUUUCGAUACUAUUUUAUCUUGUACGGUGUAAUGUUCUUAUUUUUAAGUAUAUGUUUUCUCGUGUCUGUUUGUAUUCAUUGCGCGUCACGAAUAUAUCGUGAGCUGUUCCCGAGCUUCGAGGAAUCGACGGUCAAGCUUCGGCGACCAUGUGAUCAAGUUCUGCGAGUUCUACGAGAUUGAAGACCCUGAGCAUCUGUUUGGUGAAGGUUGCCUUUGGUGCAAUCUAUGCUUAGGUAAAGAAGAAGGUGUCGAGGCGGAUCUCCAGGAGUUCCAGGACUUCGAUGAGUUCGAGGAUUAGGCUAGCGACCUCCCCCAGUCGGCUGCCUGUGGUGGGUUGUUUACGUUGGCUACGUUUCGAUUCUGUGUACUUUGAUUUAUAUAUGUAAAUGGCUCUAGUCUGUAAUAUUAUUACUUACUCUUUAUUGUAAUUCGAAGCAUUGUGCUAUG